CUCAGGACGAACGCUGGCGGCGUGCCUAAUACAUGCAAGUCGAACGAGAACCUUGGAUUCGUCUGGGGGGGAGAGUGGCGAACUGGUGAGUAACACGUGGGUGACCUGCCCCGAAGACGGGGAUAACCGUUGGAAACGACGGCUAAUACCCGAUAUACUCGGUGAUUCGGUUCAUCGAGUAAAGGCUCCGGUGCUUCGGGAUGGGCCUGCGGCCUAUCAGCUAGUUGGUGGGGUAAUGGCCCACCAAGGCGAAGACGGGUAGGGGGCGUGAGAGCGCGGNCCCCCACACUGGCACUGAGAUACGGGCCAGACUUCUACGGAAGGCAGCAGUCGGGAAUAUUGCACAAUCGGCGAAAGCCGGAUGCAGCGACGCCGCGUGGGCGAUGAAGGCCUUCGGGUUGUAAAGCCCUUUUAUGGGGGAAGAGACAAGGACGGUACCCCAAGAAUAAGCGUCGGCUAACUACGUGCCAGCAGCCGCGGUAAAACGUAGGACGCAAGCGUUAUCCGGAUUUACUGGGCGUAAAGAGCGUUGAGGCGGUUCCGUAAGUUGGGCGUGAAAGCCCCGGGCUUAACUCGGGGAGGUCGUUCAAUACUGCGGGACUUGAGGGCAGCAGAGGGAGGCGGAAUUCCCGGUGUAGCGGUGAAAUGCGUAGAUAUCGGGAGGAACACCAGUGGCGAAGGCGGCCUCCUGGGCUGUUUCUGACGCUGAAGGCGAAAGCUAGGGGAGCGAACGGGAUUAGAAACCCCGGUAGUCCUAGCCGUAAACGAUGGAUGCUGGGUGUGGGGGGUAUAGAUCCCCUCCGUGCCGAAGCUAACGCGUUAAGCAUCCCGCCUGGGGAUUACGGCCGCAAGGCUUAAACUCAAACGAAUUGACGGUGGCCCGUACAAGCAGCGGAGCGUGUGCUUUACUUCGAUGCUACACGAAGAACCUUACCUGGGCUUGACCUGUCGGGUAGUAGUGAAGCGCAAGCGGAACGACCCCUUCGGGGAGCCUACACAGGGUGCUGCAUGGCUGUCGUCAGUUCGUGCCGUGAGGUGUCGGGUUAAGUCCCGUAACGAACGCAACCCUUGCCCUUAGUUACAUGUGUCUAAGGGGACUGCCCGGGACAACUGGGAGGGAGGNUGGGGAUGACGUCAAGUCAGCAUGGCCUUUAUGUCCAGGGCUACACACACGCUACAAUGGCCGGUACAAUGGGUCGCCAAGC
rnacentral:rRNA from 1 species